UACGGGGGGGGUAAGCGUUGUUCGGAUUCACUGGGCGUAAAGGGUGCGUAGGUGGUGGGGUAAGUCGGAUGUGAAAGCUCGGAGCUCAACUCCGAAAUGGCAUUGGAAACUACCCUGCUAGAGGAUUGGAGGGGGGACUGGAAUACUUGGUGUAGCAGUGAAAUGCGUAGAUAUCAAGUGGAACACCAGUGGCGAAGGCGAGUCCCUGGACAAUACCUGACACUGAGGCACGAAAGCUAGGGGAGCAAACAGG
rnacentral:rRNA from 1 species